GUGAUGCUGCACGACACAGGGACGACGCUGAAAACUUCUGAGUUGUACCCUUCACGCGUGGGAGUUUUACCAGAUCUCACACAGCUGCUUAAAGAAAGCUCGUGGCGUGGAGCGUGGAGGUCAGCAUUGAGAAAGCUGCAUGUGGACAAGACUCCAGCAGACAGGUGCACGAGGAUGCACAGAGACCCGGGGUCCGCCGCGGUGACCCAGGUGCCAUGAGCAUGCGAUUCAGGGAGAGGGGCAGCCACCAACGUGGCACACACAGUUCAAGUGCAGGACGCUCAGGCUGGCCUGCGGAACUGAACACAAGGGGUCGGGGAAACUGCGUCAAGGACGACUCGUGUUGUUCGACCUUACCCCAAGAUUCAGAUGCCUUUGUGAAAUUUAGUGUUUUGUUUUGCAUAAAUGUGUAAGAAACAAAAGUCAAAUGUCCAAAACCUUGUUGAUAGUAGUUAACAUGUUUGUUGUGGUACUUAAAUUUUAAUGUUAAAAAAGU